rnacentral:rRNA from 1 species
UACGGAGGGAGCUAGCGUUAUUCGGAAUUACUGGGCGUAAAGCGCACGUAGGCGGCUUUGUAAGUUAGAGGUGAAAGCCUGGAGCUCAACUCCAGAAUUGCCUUUAAGACUGCAUCGCUUGAAUCCAGGAGAGGUGAGUGGAAUUCCGAGUGUAGAGGUGAAAUUCGCAGAUAUCGGGAAGAACACCCGUGGCGAAGGCGGCUCUCUGGGACGGUACUGACGCUGAGACGCGAAAGCGUGGGGAGCGAACAGG